rnacentral:misc_RNA from 1 species
AAGUCGUAACAAGGUUUCCGUAGGUGAACCUGCGGAAGGAUCAUUAACACGUAUCCAAACGUUAACCCCCUGUGAACCUUCAAUGUGCUCGUACACUUUGUCAAAGCGAGGCAAUCCCUGGUAAAUCAUCGCCGAACAGUUUUGAUUCUGGGACUUCCUCAAAGAGUGUGCCGAUCGUUGGAGGCCGACACGGCCGACGACCGGGUCACCGGGCGCAAGCCCCUUUAUCACCACUUGAUGCAUGACAGACGCGCCAGCGCUUAAUUGUGCGGCGACCAAAAACCGAACAACUGUUAACAAUGGAUAUCUUGGUUCUC